rnacentral:rRNA from 1 species
GACGAACGCUGGCGGCGUGCUUAACACAUGCAAGUCGAACGGAAAGGCCCUGCUUGCAGGGUACUCGAGUGGCGAACGGGUGAGUAACACGUGGGUGAUCUGCCCUGCACUUCGGGAUAAGCCUGGGAAACUGGGUCUAAUACCGGAUAGGAGCCAUUUUUAGUGUGAUGGUUGGAAAGUUUUUUUCGGUGUAGGAUGAGCUCGCGGCCUAUCAGCUUGUUGGUGGGGUAAUGGCCUACCAAGGCGGCGACGGGUAGCCGGCCUGAGAGGGUGGACGGCCACAUUGGGACUGAGAUACGGCCCAGACUCCUACGGGAGGCAGCAGCGGGGAAUAUUGCACAAUGGGCGCAAGCCUGAUGCAGCGACGCCGCGUGGGGGAUGACGGCCUUCGGGUUGUAAACUCCUUUCGCUAGGGACGAAGCUUUUUGUGACGGUACCUAGAUAAGAAGCACCGGCUAACUACGUG